AAGUGUGCAGGGCACUGGU
rnacentral:miRNA from 2 species